UGUGGUGUAGCGGUGAAAUGCAUAGAUAUCACAUAGAACACCGAUCGCGAAGGCAGGUGACCAACCAUGUACUGACGCUGAUGGACGAAAGCGUGGGUAGCGAACGGGAUUAGAUACCCCGGUAGUCCACGCCGUAAACGAUGGAUACUAGCUGUGGGGACUUCGGUCUCCGUGGCCAAGCGAAAGUGAUAAGUAUCCCACCUGGGGAGUACGUUCGCAAGAAUGAAACUCAAAGGAAUUGACGGGGGCCCGCACAAGCGGUGGAGCAUGUGGUUUAAUUCGAUGAUACGCGAGGAACCUUACCAGGGCUUAAAUGCAGGCUGCAUGGGGUAGAGAUACCCCUUUCUUCGGACCGCCUGCAAGGUGCUGCAUGGUUGUCGUCAGCUCGUGCCGUGAGGUGUCAGGUUAAGUCCUAUAACGAGCGCAACCCCUACCGUUAGUUGCCAGCAUGUCAAGAUGGGGACUCUAACGGGACUGCCGGUGCAAACCGUGAGGAAGGUGGGGACGACGUCAAAUCAUCACGGCCCUUACGUCCUGGGCUACACACGUGCUACAAUGGCCGGUACAGAGGGAAGCCACCCCGCAAGGGGGCGCGGAUCUACAAAACCGGUCACAGUUCGGAUCGGGGUCUGCAACUCGACCCCGUGAAGCUGGAAUCGCUAGUAAUCGGAUAUCAGCCAUGAUCCGGUGAAUACGUUCCCGGGCCUUGUACACACCGCCCGUCAAGCCAUGGAAGCCGGGAGUGCCUGAAGUCCGUCACCGCGAGGAGCGGCCUAGGGCAAAAUCGGUAACUAGGGCUAAGUCGUAACAAGGUAGCCGUAA
rnacentral:rRNA from 1 species